rnacentral:sRNA from 1 species
AACACUAUUAGUGGGUUAUCAUCGGGUGGGGUAAGCCUAUGGUUAGUCCCUUACACGGGGCAAGGCCACGACGGCCGGUUGGUAGGCCAAGGGGGCAAUGGGCCGAGAUCGGCAACUGGAAGCUCUGGGCUAUGGUGAUGCCUAGGGUGGGCAGUGGCGCUUAACUAGGACCCCCGCUGGAAACCCCAGAACUAGUUAAAGCGGCCCGAGAGGACGGACGCAGUGGUCGGUUGGUUAUAGGGGUUAUAAUAUGUAACUAGCUUAAGGUGCAUCCUGCGUGGAAUAGCCAUGUAGUCAGCAGUGGAC